GGGCCCGCACAAGCGGAGGAACAUGUGGUUUAAUUCGAUGAUACGCGAGGAACCUUACCUGGGCUUAAAUGUGCUUUGACUGCUGGUGAAAGCUGGCUUUCCGCAAGGACAGAGUACAAGGUGCUGCAUGGUUGUCGUCAGCUCGUGCCGUGAGGUGUCGGGUUAAGUCCCAUAACGAGCGCAACCCUUAUUGUUAGUUGCUAACAGGUCAAGCUGAGGACUCUAACGAGACUGCCACCGUAAGGUGUGAGGAAGGUGGGGAUGACGUCAAAUCAGCACGGCCCUUAUGUCCAGGGCUACACACGUGUUACAAUGGCCGAUACAAAGGGCAGCUACUUGGUGACAAGAUGCUAAUCUCAAAAGUCGGUCUCAGUUCGGAUCGGAGUCUGCAACCCGACUCCGUGAAGCUGGAUUCGCUAGUAAUCGCGCAUCAGCCAUGGCGCGGUGAAUACGUUCCCGGGCCUU
rnacentral:rRNA from 1 species